AUUGAACGCUGGCGGCAGGCCUAACACAUGCAAGUCGAGCGAGGCGCGGACGGGUGAGUAAUGUCUGGGAAACUGCCUUAUAGAGGGGGAUAACAACUGGACACGGUAUCUAAUACCGCAUACCCUCAGAUGUGCCCAUAUGGGAUUAGCUUUUAGGUGGGGGAAAGGCUCACCUAGGCGACGAUCCCUCGCUGGUCUGAGAGGAUGACCAGCCACACUGGAAAUGAGACACGGUCCAGACUCCGACGGGAGGCAGCAGUGGGGAAUAUUGCACAAUGGGCGCAAGCCUGAUGCAGCCAUGCCGCGUGUAUGAAGAAGGCCUUCGGGUUGUAAAGUACUUUCAGCGGGGAGGCGUUACCCGCAGAAGAAGCACCGGCUAACUCCGUGCCAGCAGCCGCGGUAAUUC
rnacentral:rRNA from 1 species